GGGGAUAUAGCUCAGUGGUAGAGUGCUUGCCUCGAAAGCAAGGUCCUGAGUUCAAUUUUCAACACCCG
rnacentral:tRNA from 1 species